UACGAAGGGGGCGAGCGUUGUUCGGAUUUACUGGGCGUAAAGGGCGUGCAGGCGGCCAUUCAAGUCAGGCGUGAAAGCCCCGGGCUUAACCUGGGAACGGCGCGCGAAACGGGGGGGCUGGAGUUCGGGAGAGGAGCGUGGAAUUCCCAGUGUAGAGGUGAAAUUCGUAGAUAUUGGGAAGAACACCGGUGGCGAAGGCGGCGCUCUGGACCGAGGCUGACGCUGAGGCGCGAAAGCGUGGGGAGCAAACAGG
rnacentral:rRNA from 1 species